UCCCCCACAGGCCCAGCUCCCUGUUUCCUGCUUGUCCCUGCUUCACACAGGGCCUUUGAACAUGCCCUUCCCUGGCCUUCUCUGCCCUGCUGAGUUCUUUAAGAUUCCACACGGCUGUGACAAUCAACUGCCUACACAGGGCCUGCACAGAGCAGGCAGAGUUAGACAGUGAGAGAGACAGAGAGAAAGGUCUUCCUUCCUUUGGUUCACCCCCCAAAUGGCUGCCACCGCCGGUGCGCUGCGCCGAUCCGAAGCCAGGAGCCAGGUGCUUCCUCCUGGUCUCCCAUGCAGGUGCAGGCGCCCAAAUACUCGGGCCAUCCUCCACUACCUUCCUGGGCCACAGCAGAGAGCUGGACUGGAAGAGGAGCAACCAGGACUAGAACCCGGCACCCAUAUGGGAUGCCAGCACCACAGGUGGAGGAUUAACCAAAAAGACGGAGAGAUGAGAAGAGAGACGGGCACAGAGAGAUCUUCCGCCUGCUGGUUCAUUCCCUAAAUGCCUUCAACAGCAGAGCUGGGUCAAGCGGAAGCCAGAUCCUGGAACUCCACCUGUCUUCCACGAGGGUGAUGGGAGGCGAGCACUUGAGCCAUCACCCUGUGCCACCCAGGGAGCACGCUAGCAGGAAGCGGAAUCCUGGUGGAGGAGCUAGGACUCACGGCAGGCCUGUCUGGAAGUCUGAUUCCAGAGUCAGGUGAGCACUGGAGGCAUCCUAAGUAGGCCCAGACGCACUAUAAGAGUCCUGCAAGGCUGGCACAGCACCUUGGCUUGGAAGGACAUGGGGAGUCCCAGGUAGGGAACAAGGGCUGUGUGGGAAAGGUAGCCAAGGACCAGAGCCUGGAAGCUUAGCUUGUAGCCCACAUGGGUUUGUCUUCCAGGAGAUCCCUGCAUAGAUGGGACAGUCCCCUGACGGCAGUGAUGGGGGUGGGGGGUGGGGGUUAGAGUGAGCUGUGAGACAGAGGCCAGCAUGGAUCUCACAACAGCCCCCUCUACAGGUGAGUGCAAAGGAAGGGGCUGGGGCACAGACUGAGAACCUUCCCAGUGCACUUGUCAGGAGGCGUGGGUUCCCCUGGGCUGGGAGAUAUGGGGUGGGAGAUAUGGGGAGGUAUCCCACUGGUCCUUUUAGCAGUGCAACUAAGCUGGGGCUGCAGCCGAGGGGGCUGGAGCUGGGCCACAGGGGCUCUUUGAGGCCCACCGCCGAGACUGAAGUGAAUGGGCAGAUGAGCAUCUCUGUGGAGGCACCAGGGUGCACACAGGGUUGACCUUGACUCUCUUGGCAGGUGGUGGGGACGGCAGGCACAAGGGAGAAAAGGCUAUAGCCAAGCCCCCUGGGGGAAUAGGACCAAUUUCCAGGCUUGAAUCCAGAGGCAUGAUUGGCGGGUCUGCCGCCAGGCUGUGGGUGUGCACUCCCGAAAUGACCCUUUGCAAAGCUUGGACUCCACGAGACUUCCACAGCGCCAGCCACCAUCCGGAGGCUCCCACUAAGAGACUUUUCUCUGGGCAAAGGUGCAGCCUUUCUGUUGUCUGGGAACAGCAGUAUGUCCCAGUGGGACAACUUGCUGAUUUUGAUAAACACUAGUUUAGAACAUUCCCUUUAGGAUUUGUUUCUCAACCAAGUUGCAGAUGCAGUUUUUGUGUCAUUAUUGUUUUUUACUAUAGUAUUGCUGUUCAUAUUCCAAAGUGAUUUUUCAUGAUUUCAUACCACGCAAGUAAGUGUUCUGAAACUGUCACGUCAUGGGGUCAUUUUCCUAAUGUUGGUCAUUAAGUAGUUUACGACCUUUACUGGUGGAAUCAGACCAGGAAAAUUAUCGUUGGGAAGGGAUAUUUACGAAGCAGCUGCCAUGUUGGUUUUGCUAAUUGUUCCAGAGGAGGAAACACCGGGAUCAUCGACAGGAAGUCGCUUUCCCGGAGUGCCAGAGCUAGUGGGCGCUCCAGCCGGGAUAAACAGAGGGCUCACUUAGCACCUGCCGGGGAACUUAGGACCCUCAGUGUCUCACACCGGGGGUCUCCAUCAGUGUCUCACUCCCUGGGCCUCGCGCAUCUGGAGGAAGAGUGUUUGCCGCUUGCACUGAGUCGCUGCUGGGUCCCUUGUGUUGAGUUAAAAUGAAGACCUGGGAGGUGACUCAGAACCCAGCGGCGAGGGAGGGCUACAGGCUGCUGGUUAGGGGCAGGUGUCUCCCGCCCCCUCCUCCACCUCCAAGUCCUGUGUUGCUGCACACGCAGGGCCAGGCCACGGCUUCACAGCACGCUCGUGCCAUCUCAGGACCCGGGCUCCAGCCUCCUGCCAUGGACAAGUCCCUCCCUUUCUCUGACUUGUCUCGUCUGCAGGAGGCACCUUGCUCCAGGGUUGCUAGACAGGGAGGGCUUGAGCACAGUGCUGGCCCACAGUUCUUGCUGCCCGGUGUGGUCCUGAGGGGCUGCAAGGCUGCAGGGAGGAGGGCUGUGCUGCCCACACCCCUCCCUCAGAGCUGGGAGAGGGCUCCAGCUGUCCCCUAGGAGGCUCUGAGAAUGCCUCCUGCCUUAGGACACCUUCCCUGGAGGCCAUUAUCCGGUCCCAGCCUGAUCCUUGUCUUGGCUUUGGAACGCUCCAGCCCCAUCACUCAUCUCAAGGUCUGGACCGAUUGCAUUGUAAGAAGCACAGCAGGUCCCUGCCAAGAGUCUGGGCCGUCCCCAGUCAGCACAGCAGAGGCUCCCCGCAGGUCCCUGCUGAUGUCCUAGGCAGCCUGUGUGCUUGUGGUGUAGACACCCCAGAGCGGGAGGCAGAUGAGGCGGAAGCGAAUUACGAGGAGUGGGGGCCAGGUGGUGGCAAGAGCUGUGGGGACGAUUCCAGGUGAUCAGGGCACAGUGCAGGCAGGGUUAGCACAGGGAGUGGACAGCUCAGGUCCUUGGGGGCGGGGCGCUUGUCUCAUCCCCUUCUGAGCUGUGUGUCCCUUUCUACCUGUACUAUAGUUGCUUGUAGAUUCCGUUUCUCUGCAUGUGCACAAAAGCCACGAGGUUGUGGCCCACUGACCCCUGUGACCUGCAAGGGCUCCACCAUGAUGUGUUUGUUGACUUGAGUCAGAUUUAACUGAAACCAUGUGGAAGCCGAUGACACAUGAUGCAAGUAGAAUUAGCUUUAGUUGUUAUCACUAAUGCUUGCCCAGACUCACGAGGGUGCAACAGCAGGGAGUGUGAAUUUAUAGAACUGGAGCAGGGACUCCACACUGAGUACUUGUGAAGUUAAAAGGGCAACCCAUCGGCUAGGAGACCAAAGAACCCAAGAGACAUGGGUGCAGUCUCUGGGGAAAGGGAUUUGUUUUAUUUUUCAUUUAUUUGAAAGGCAGAACUAGAGAGAGAAGAGAAACACACAGACAAAUGUUCCAUCUGCUGCUUCACUCCUCAAAUGGCCACAACUGGGCCAGGACGAAGCCAAGAGCUUCUUCUGGGUCUCCCACAUGGGUGUAGGCACCCAAGAACUGGGGCCAUCUUUGCUGCUUUCCCAGGCACAGUAGCGGGGAGCUGGAUCGGAAGUAGAGCAGUCGGGUCUCGAACCAGCACCCAUGAGGGAUAUUGGCAUCACAGGUGGUGGCUUACCCUGCUGUGCCACACGCUGGCCCCUAAAGAAAGGGAUUUGGAAAUAGAUGUCCAGGGGUAUGGGUGUUUGACUGCCUUGUCCUGGGAGGAGGCCUCGUGUUCAAGGAGCCGUGCUGGUCCCAGAUCACUGAGGCUCUGUGGACAAGGUUUGUGCAGGCUUUGUGAUGUGGCUUCCGUGUUUCUCAUCAUCACAAAACGGUGGGUGCCGGUACUAGUACUGUUACCCAGCGUGGACACCACAGCGGGGGUGGGGAGGAGAACUUCUGCUUCUGAAGACGCAGUGCCCCCUGGCGGUGUAAGCCUCACACAGCCAGGAGUGCUCGCACUUCAGCGCCAAGUCCUCAAACCACAGUGGUUUUGGAACCGCCGGGAAACAUCAGAGAAAGUCUGAACCAGGCAUCUCAUCCAGGGCCAGGGAAACAGAGGUGACGGAGGCUGUCGUCCAUAGUACGAUCGCUUGUCAGGUUCAAACCUUUCUUCAUCACACGCUGUUGGCUGGAGCUUCUUCUCCCCUAACUGUCCAUCAUCAUCGCGAGCAGCGUCUGUGAGCAUGCCAAACAGUGGGCCCUGGGAGCUCAGAGCUUCCUGUAGCCCUGUCUGAUGAAGAACACAUGGAAAGCAAUCCCACAGGCUCCCCGGAGGUGAAUUUGUGUCCAGUUACAUCCGGGAUUAUAUGAAUCCAUUGGUGCAUGACCAACCCAUCCUUUGCUGCCCUUGGAGCCCAUUUUGGUCCGAUUCAGGUUUGGGACACUCCUGUUUCCUCCGCCUUGAAGCCAAACCCGAGCCAGCGCAGUUCCAGCGGCCUGGGAUCGUCUUUCUCCGACAGGAAGGGCAGCCUGUGUGCUCACGGCAGGCACACCCCAGAGCAGGAGACCAACGAGGCGGAAGCAAAUUACGAUGAGUGGGAGCCAGGUGGCGGCAAGAGCUAUGGCGAAGAUUGAGGUUGAGAAAGCAGGUAGCGGUUGGAGGAGGAAGAAGUUGAGUUCAUCCAUCCGGAUGCAGUGGUGCCUCGCCAAGGGUCAGGGGCCUGAACAGGGAGCCGUGUGGACAACCACGGGAGAAGGGCCCAUGGCUCUAGACCAGGACACAUCAUGGCACCUAACCCGUCUCGCUUCCGAGCCUCGUGUCCCCUUCUGUCCGGGUUAGAAGGUUGUUUGCAUAUCUGGUUCAGGUCUCUGCGACGACUCCUAGAAGCUGCCGUGCUCAGAAACCAUGAGGCCACGUCCCUGUGAAACUGUGGCCGCCUAGGGCCCUGCAGCGAUGAGCCCUCAAGGCCAUCCAUGUUUGUGGAUGUGAGUCAGCAAGCAGAAGCCCUAACACACUGUGCAAGCAGAUUUCGUUUUGAUUGGCAUUAUUAAGGAUGGCCAGACUCCUGAGGCUGACCCACCUCCGCCAUUUUCCUUUUCUUUUUCUUUCUUUCUCUCUUUUUUUUUUUUUUUUUUUGAAGAUUGAUUUAUUUACUUGAAAGUCAGAGUUACACAGAGAGAGGAGAGGCGGAGAGAGAAAGAGGUCUUCCAUCUGCUGGUUCACUCCCCUGUUGGCUGCAACGGCUGGAGCUGCGCCGAUCCGAAGCCAGGAGCCAGGAGCCAGGAGCCAGGAGCCAGGAGCCAGGAGCCAGGAGCCAGGAGCCAGGAACAAGGAGCCAGGAGCAAGGAGCCAGGAGCUUCCUCCAGGUCUCCCAUGCGGGUGCAGGGCCCAAGCACUUGGGCCAUCCUCCACUGCCUUCCUGGGCCACAGCAGAGAGCUGGCCUGGAAGUGGAGCAGCUGGGACUCUAUCUGGCACCCAUAUGGGAUGCUGGCACUGCAGGCCAGGUCAUUAACACGCUGUGCCACAGUGCUGGCCCCUUCCUUUUCUUUUUCUUAUUACGAAUCGUCGCUGCAACCUACACAUGUGAGAGCAUAAAACAGUGGCCUUGGGAGCUCCCAGCUUCCCCUAGCCCUCUCUCCAAGCCAAUCCAUUGCCUUCCAGAGGGUGGAUAAUUACGUAUCAUUAGGUCUAGCAUUGUAGGGAAACCUGUGCUCUGUGGCUCAUGUACCCCCUCCGGUCCUUGGAGCCCAUGUGGGGUCCAGGUCCCCCUGCUCUGCACCGGCCUCGAGACCAGGCCAGGGUCCAUGCAGCUCCAGCUGUAGGAAGGUCCCUCUGCUAGAGGAGAGCUUGUUUCCUCCUGCGAGGGCUCCCCCUGCCUGAAGUCCCGCCCCGAGGAAUCAGCCCUUUGAAUCAAACACUGAUCUCUAGAGAGUGUUGCUGACUCCCAGAAAUGGAACGCCAAAGCCGCAAAAUCAGCCCUAAGAGCUGCCACAUACUGAAUUUUGAGUCCAUGCCUAAGAAACUUGAGGGUGAGGGCGCCCCAGGGUUGGCCUGGGCUGGACACGGGGGGUUGGGGUGGCCUGGGAAGGAGCAUGAGGGAACCUUCUGGGCUGUUGAAAGCAUUUGAUUUCUUGGUUUUAGUGGUGCUUGUAUUUGUCCUGAACUUGGGAAAACUGAACAGAUGCGCAUGAGUGACUUCAUUUCCUGUAAUGUUUCCCAUCCUAGAAUUAAUUUUGCAAUUGCUGCUUUGGAGGUUGUUGUAUGGACUUAAAUUUAUUUCCAGUUCCUAUGGGUCGGCACCAAGGAGUUUAGGUGUUGCAUCCCACGGUGAGCCAAUGUUUCCUUUCGUAAGAAACUGCCCAAGUGGUUGCCCGAAGUGGCUGUGCCAGUUUCCGUCCCCACCAGCCAUGGAUGACAGUUCCUGCCGUCCUCAGCCUCAGCUGCACGUUGGGGAUAUUGGUGCCCUGGGUGUUGGCUGUUCUGGUUGGCACAUGGUCCUAUCUCCUUGUGGCAGUUCCCCAUGGCCUGUGACACGGAGCAUCUCAUGUGCUUGUUUGUGGUGCGUGUCUAUGCAGCUCUUUUGCCCAUUUUUGAACUAAGCAUUGGGCUGUUAGUGUUCCUUGUGUAUUUUGGACCCAAGUCCUUUUUCAGAUAUGCAUUUUGAAAGGGUUUCCUCCCCAUCAGUGUCUUGUCUUUUCAUUUUCCAAUUUUUCACCAUGCACCUAGAAUGCCAUCACAUCUCCCUGUCUCCUUGAGUGUGUGUGUGUGUGUGUGUGUGUGUUAAUGAGCAGCAUUUAGGGAGUGGUUAGGGCCGGUGUUGUGGCAUAGCAGGUUAAGCCACUGUCUGCAGUGCUGGCAUCCCAUAUGGGCACCAGUUCCUGUCCUGGCUGCUCUGCUUCCCAGCUAGUGCACCUGGGAAAAGCAACAGCAGGUGGCCCAACUGUACGGGGCCCUGCAUCCUCGUGGGAGACCCCAUGAAGCUGCUGGCUUUAGCCUGGUUCAGCUGUGGCUGUCGUGGCCCCUUGGCGAGUGAACCAGCAGAUGGAAGACC